rnacentral:rRNA from 1 species
UACAGAGGGUGCAAGCGUUAAUCGGAAUUACUGGGCGUAAAGCGCACGCAGGUGGCUGUGUAAGUCGGAUGUGAAAGCCCCGGGCUCAACCUGGGAAUUGCAUUCGAUACUGCAUAGCUAGAGUAUGGGAGAGGGGGGUAGAAUUCCAGGUGUAGCGGUGAAAUGCGUAGAGAUCUGGAGGAAUACCGGUGGCGAAGGCGACCACCUGGACUGAUACUGACACUGAGGUGCGAAAGCGUGGGGAGCAAACAGG